rnacentral:rRNA from 1 species
GAUGAACGCUAGCGGCAGGCUUAACACAUGCAAGUCGAGGGGCAGCAUGAGUGUUAGCAAUAACACUUGAUGGCGACCGGCGCAAGGGUGCGUAACGCGUGAGCAACUUGCCCGUUUCAGGGGGAUAACCGGUGGAAACGCCGACUAAUACCCCAUGGCAUUGGUUUGAGGCAUCUCUUACCAAUUAAAGAACUUCGGAAACGGAUAGGCUCGCGUGACAUUAGCUAGAUGGCGGGGUAACGGCCCACCAUGGCGACGAUGUCUAGGGGUUCUGAGAGGAAGGUCCCCCACACUGGAACUGAGACACGGUCCAGACUCCUACGGGAGGCAGCAGUGAGGAAUAUUGGUCAAUGGUCUGACGACUGAACCAGCCAUGCCGCGUGAAGGUCACGGCCCUAUGGGUCUUAAACUUCUUUUGUCAGGGAGCAAUAAGUCCCACGUGUGGGAUGAUGAGGGUACCUGACGAAUAAGCAUCGGCUAACUCCGUGCCAGCCGCCGCCGUAACAC